AGAGAGUCAUAGAAUCUCACCCAAACAAACCAUCCAGGGAAAACACAGCCAGUCUCCUUUUUGGUAAACCUCUGUGAUGGGCGUUCUCCAAGCACCUGCCCUGAGCAAUGCCUGGGAGGUCCUGUGUGCCACCUGUUCUUAUGGGCCAGCCUGUCAGACCCUGGACUCCUGGAGGAAGACACAUCAGCCCCAUGGCCCUGAGGAUGGUGGAGCAGGAUUUCUAAGAUUUCAUAUUUUAAAAGAUGCGUCUGAAG